rnacentral:rRNA from 1 species
GCCUACAGCCACACUACCCUGAAAACACCCGAUCUCAUCUGAUCAUGGAAGCUAAGCAGGGUCUGGCUCGAGUCCUGUCUAGGAUUAGAUGAUGAUAUAGGAGGACCAAGAGAUUUUCCCC